GGUUAACGCGAGGAGACAGACAUGGGACUCACGCAAUCCUUGAAUGUUCUGUUGGUCAGUGCAGCGUUUGCUUUCGUUUUGUCCAUGCUCUUCAUCUGAGCCGGCCGACGAAAGCGUAACGACUGAUAGUGCCUAAACUCCCCAGUAGCUGAUCAAUCCGCCAACGAAAAAGCGCAUGUCCCGCCCGACAUGCGCUUU
rnacentral:sRNA from 7 species